rnacentral:rRNA from 1 species
GGAUCAUUAUCGAGUUAUUCAACUCCCAAACCCUAUGUGAACUUACCACUUGGUUGCUUCGGCGCGCGCUUCGGCGCCGCCGAGGACACUUAAACUCUUUGUUUUUAUAAGCAUUUCUGAGUGGCCGAAAGGCAAAAAUACAAAUGAAUCAAAACUUUCAACAACGGAUCUCUUGGUUCUGGCAUCGAUGAAGAACGCAGCGAAAUGCGAUAAGUAAUGUGAAUUGCAGAAUUCAGUGAAUCAUCGAAUCUUUGAACGCACAUUGCGCCCGCCAGCAUUCUGGCGGGCAUGCCUGUUCGAGCGUCAUUUCAACCCUCGAGCCCGACUCUUUUGAGGACGGCUCGGCGUUGGGGGACGGCAGACUCCCCCCGGCAUCUCGCCGGGGACGCCGCCCCCGAAAUCUAGUGGCGGCCCUCCGAGGCGACCUCUGCGUAGUAACUUGUUCUCGCACCGGAAAGCUCAGAGCGGCCACGCCGUAAAACCCCAACUUUUUUCAGGUUGACCUCGAAUCAGGUAGGACUACCCGCUGAACUUAAGCAUAUCAAUAAGCGGAGGAAAAGAAACCAACAGGGAUUGCCCCAGUAACGGCGAGUGAAGCGGCAACAGCUCAAAUUUGAAAUCUGGCCCCUAGGGUCCGAGUUGUAAUUUGCAGAGGAUGCUUUUGACAAGGUGCCUUCCGAGUUCCCUGGAACGGGACGCCAUAGAGGGUGAGAGCCCCGUCUGGUCGGAUACCGCGUCUCUGUAAAGCUCCUUCGACGAGUCGAGUAGUUUGGGAAUGCUGCUCAAAAUGGGAGGUAUAUGUCUUCUAAAGCUAAAUAUUGGCCAGAGACCGAUAGCGCACAAGUAGAGUGAUCGAAAGAUGAAAAGCACUUUGAAAAGAGGGUUAAAAAGUACGUGAAAUUGUUGAAAGGGAAGCGCCUAUGACCAGACUUGGGCCCGGUGAAUCAUCCAGCGUUCUCGCUGGUGCACUUUGCCGGGCACAGGCCAGCAUCAGUUUGGCUUGGGGGAAAAAGGCUUUGGGAACGUAGCUCCUCGGAGUGUUAUAGACCAUUGCAUAAUACCCUGGGCCGGACUGAGGU